rnacentral:rRNA from 1 species
UACGUAGGGUGCAAGCGUUGUCCGGAAUUAUUGGGCGUAAAGAGCUCGUAGGCGGUUUGUUGCGUCGGCUGUGAAAUCCCGAGGCUCAACCUCGGGUCUGCAGUCGAUACGAGCAAACUAGAGUGUUGCAGGGGAGACUGGAAUUCCUGGUGUAGCAGUGAAAUGCGUAGAUAUCAGGAGGAAUACCGAUGGCGAAGGCAGGUCUCUGGGCUAUAACUGACGCUCGAUGCACGAAAGCGUGGGGAGCAAACAGG